rnacentral:lncRNA from 1 species
AAUUGUGCAAGAGGAGACCGGCGCACAGGGCGCGUAUCACGGAGCGCAUGGUACGAGCCGCCGGCUCCGGUGAUUAAUUAUCAGUAACCGAUGGCCUCGCGCUACCACGUCGGCUUUCCCAGCAGAGCCAGCAAGCCGAACGCCUCCAGCGCGGCCGGGACGGAGGAGCGGCUCUGGGGAAGACGCCGAGGCUGCGCCCGAGUCUGAACGAAGCUGCCUCCAGCCACAUGAAGUCAGUAGGGCUGUUCUGAGGGGCCCCGAGAUUUGAUGACUGUUUUUUAGGUUGCGGAACCUACUCCGAGAGAGCAAACACUUUGGACGAAGUGAUUCAUAUUGAUAGAUACAUUUGUUGGGAGGUGGCUUUUUUCAUUCUCAACAGAAAACAAAGAAAUA